AGAGUUUGGUCCUGGCUCAGGAUGAACGCUGGCGGCGUGCCUAACACAUGCAAGUCGAACGGAGUUACUUUAGUGAAGUUUUCGGAUGGAUCUGAUUUAACUUAGUGGCGGACGGGUGAGUAAUGCGUGAGCAACCUGCCCUUCAGAGGGGGACAACAGUUGGAAACGACUGCUAAUACCGCAUAAUGUAUUCGGAAGGCAUCUUCUGGAUACCAAAGGAGAAAUCCGCUGAUGGAUGGGCUCACGUCUGAUUAGCUAGUUGGUGAGGUAACGGCUCACCAAGGCUGCGAUCAGUAGCCGGACUGAGAGGUUGAACGGCCACAUUGGGACUGAGAUACGGCCCAGACUCCUACGGGAGGCAGCAGUGGGGAAUAUUGGGCAAUGGGCGAAAGCCUGACCCAGCAACGCCGCGUGAAGGAAGAAGGCCUUCGGGUUGUAAACUUCUUUUAAGAGGGACGAAGAAGUGACGGUACCUCUUGAAUAAGCCACGGCUAACUACGUGCCAGCAGCCGCGGUAAUACGUAGGUGGCGAGCGUUAUCCGGAUUUACUGGGUGUAAAGGGCGCGUAGGCGGGAAUGCAAGUCAGAUGUGAAAUCCAAGGGCUCAACCCUUGAACUGCAUUUGAAACUGUAUUUCUUGAGUGUCGGAGAGGUUGACGGAAUUCCUAGUGUAGCGGUGAAAUGCGUAGAUAUUAGGAGGAACACCAGUGGCGAAGGCGGUCAACUGGACGAUAACUGACGCUGAGGCGCGAAAGCGUGGGGAGCAAACAGGAUUAGAUACCCUGGUAGUCCACGCCGUAAACGAUGAUUACUAGGUGUUGGAGGAUUGACCCCUUCAGUGCCGCAGUUAACACAAUAAGUAAUCCACCUGGGGAGUACGACCGCAAGGUUGAAACUCAAAGGAAUUGACGGGGGCCCGCACAAGCAGUGGAGUAUGUGGUUUAAUUCGACGCAACGCGAAGAACCUUACCAAGUCUUGACAUCCGUUGACCGACAUAGAAAUAUGUUUUUCCUUCGGGACAGCGAGACAGGUGGUGCAUGGUUGUCGUCAGCUCGUGUCGUGAGAUGUUGGGUUAAGUCCCGCAACGAGCGCAACCCUUAUGGUCAGUUACUACGCAAGAGGACUCUGGCCAGACUGCCGUUGACAAAACGGAGGAAGGUGGGGAUGACGUCAAAUCAUCAUGCCCUUUAUGACUUGGGCUACACACGUACUACAAUGGCGUUAAACAAAGAGAAGCAAGACCGCGAGGUGGAGCAAAACUCAGAAACAACGUCCCAGUUCGGACUGCAGGCUGCAACUCGCCUGCACGAAGUCGGAAUUGCUAGUAAUCGUGGAUCAGCAUGCCACGGUGAAUACGUUCCCGGGCCUUGUACACACCGCCCGUCACACCAUGAGAGCCGGGGGGACCCGAAGUCGGUAGUCUAACCGCAAGGAGGACGCCGCCGAAGGUAAAACUGGUGAUUGGGGCGAAGUCGUAACAAGGUA
rnacentral:rRNA from 1 species